UACAGAGGGUGCGAGCGUUAAUCGGAGUAACUGGGCGUAAAGGGUGCGUAGGCGGGUCUUUAAGUCAGGGGUGAAAUCCUGGAGCUCAACUCCAGAACUGCCUUUGAUACUGAAGAUCUUGAGUUCGGGAGAGGUGAGUGGAACUGCGAGUGUAGAGGUGAAAUUCGUAGAUAUUCGCAAGAACACCAGUGGCGAAGGCGGCUCACUGGCCCGAUACUGACGCUGAGGCACGAAAGCGUGGGGAGCAAACAGG
rnacentral:rRNA from 1 species